AACAGCUGAUGCAGAAUUAUUUUUGUUUAUGCCAGCUAACACCAAAGGCUUUGGGGAAUCAUGGAUAUGCUGCAUGCUGAUUUUAGGAGGCUCACCACUUUUAACAAAAUUUUGAGUUACAGUCUUCUUGAGUUAUAGUCUUCAAUCUCCCCUAUUUUACAGCCAUAAAUUAUCCUGAGAUGCACUACUCUACUCAUACAUAGUUCCCCCACCCACUUCAAUAAUGUCCUUUGCUCUCAGGAUAUAUUAAGUACAGCAUGAUUGCUCUGGAGAUUAUUUUCUCCUUUUUUAUUGCUUUUGGCUGUUUAUUACUACUCAUUAGAAUGUUAUUAACUUGGCCUCAGUUACGACAAUAUUCAACACCUGCUUCACAUAACAAGCACUUUUCUUUUCCUUUCCCUAGCAUUGCACACCUGGGCCUUGAAUUAUUCCCUUUGGCUGAGUUAAAAGAAGCAGAGUGAGAGGUCCUUGAUUUUUCUGAGGAACAGAAGGAAAGGAAAUUCUCAGAUGACCAGCCCGAGAUGGCACUGAUGGUUUCCUCUCCCCUGGGUUUCCUGAGAUCAAAUGCUGUUGAAGUUACCUACGUAACCGUGUUAGCUAAAGAGGAAGACUUUACUGUAUGAAGUCAAAAAAUGCAAAUAUUGAGAUUACCUUCUUCCAGGCUAUCAGGAUGCCAUUUUGCCAGCUGUGAGGAAGGAUGUGGUCGCCUGAGCCUUUAGUGUCUUGGGAGGUGACAGAUGUGGGCUGAACAUUCAAAGCAAUCUUUUACGUGCUCAGCCAGAGAUUGGUUUCGGUGGCAAUAGACC